rfam:Schistosoma rodhaini strain Burundi genome assembly, scaffold: SROB_scaffold0005632
ACUCAGCUGACGAGUCGUAAAGAGGAUGAAACACGCGUCCUGAAU